CUGUGAGCUCGAUGAGUAGGGCGGGACACGUGGUAUCCUGUCUGAAUAUGGGGGGACCAUCCUCCAAGGCUAAAUACUCCUGACUGACCGAUAGUGAACCAGUACCGUGAGGGAAAGGCGAAAAGAACCCCGGCGAGGGGAGUGAAAAAGAACCUGAAACCGUGUACGUACAAGCAGUGGGAGCACAGAGCAAUCUGUGUGACUGCGUACCUUUUGUAUAAUGGGUCAGCGACUUAUAUUCUGUAGCAAGGUUAACCGAAUAGGGGAGCCGAAGGGAAACCGAGUCUUAACUGGGCGUUAAGUUGCAGGGUAUAGACCCGAAACCCGGUGAUCUAGCCAUGGGCAGGUUGAAGGUUGGGUAACACUAACUGGAGGACCGAACCGACUAAUGUUGAAAAAUUAGCGGAUGACUUGUGGCUGGGGGUGAAAGGCCAAUCAAACCGGGAGAUAGCUGGUUCUCCCCGAAAGCUAUUUAGGUAGCGCCUCGUGAAUUCAUCUCCGGGGGUAGAGCACUGUUUCGGCAAGGGGGUCAUCCCGACUUACCAACCCGAUGCAAACUGCGAAUACCGGAGAAUGUUAUCACGGGAGACACACGGCGGGUGCUAACGUCCGUCGUGAAGAGGGAAACAACCCAGACCGCCAGCUAAGGUCCCAAAGUCAUGGUUAAGUGGGAAACGAUGUGGGAAGGCCCAGACAGCCAGGAUGUUGGCUUAGAAGCAGCCAUCAUUUAAAGAAAGCGUAAUAGCUCACUGGUCGAGUCGGCCUGCGCGGAAGAUGUAACGGGGCUAAACCAUGCACCGAAGCUGCGGCAGCGACGCUUAUGCGUUGUUGGGUAGGGGAGCGUUCUGUAAGCCUGUGAAGGUGUGCUGUGAGGCAUGCUGGAGGUAUCAGAAGUGCGAAUGCUGACAUAAGUAACGAUAAAGCGGGUGAAAAGCCCGCUCGCCGGAAGACCAAGGGUUCCUGUCCAACGUUAAUCGGGGCAGGGUGAGUCGACCCCUAAGGCGAGGCCGAAAGGCGUAGUCGAUGGGAAACAGGUUAAUAUUCCUGUACUUGGUGUUACUGCGAAGGGGGGACGGAGAAGGCUAUGUUGGCCGGGCGACGGUUGUCCCGGUUUAAGCGUGUAGGCUGGUUUUCCAGGCAAAUCCGGAAAAUCAAGGCUGAGGCGUGAUGACGAGGCACUACGGUGCUGAAGCAACAAAUGCCCUGCUUCCAGGAAAAGCCUCUAAGCAUCAGGUAACAUCAAAUCGUACCCCAAACCGACACAGGUGGUCAGGUAGAGAAUACCAAGGCGCUUGAGAGAACUCGGGUGAAGGAACUAGGCAAAAUGGUGCCGUAACUUCGGGAGAAGGCACGCUGAUAUGUAGGUGAAGUCCCUCGCGGAUGGAGCUGAAAUCAGUCGAAGAUACCAGCUGGCUGCAACUGUUUAUUAAAAACACAGCACUGUGCAAACACGAAAGUGGACGUAUACGGUGUGACGCCUGCCCGGUGCCGGAAGGUUAAUUGAUGGGGUUAGCGGUAACGCGAAGCUCUUGAUCGAAGCCCCGGUAAACGGCGGCCGUAACUAUAACGGUCCUAAGGUAGCGAAAUUCCUUGUCGGGUAAGUUCCGACCUGCACGAAUGGCGUAAUGAUGGCCAGGCUGUCUCCACCCGAGACUCAGUGAAAUUGAACUCGCUGUGAAGAUGCAGUGUACCCGCGGCAAGACGGAAAGACCCCGUGAACCUUUACUAUAGCUUGACACUGAACAUUGAGCCUUGAUGUGUAGGAUAGGUGGGAGGCUUAGAAGUGUGGACGCCAGUCUGCAUGGAGCCGGCCUUGAAAUACCACCCUUUAAUGUUUGAUGUUCUAACGUUGGCCCCUGAUCGGGGUUGCGGACAGUGUCUGGUGGGUAGUUUGACUGGGGCGGUCUCCUCCUAAAGAGUAACGGAGGAGCACGAAGGUUGGCUAAUCCUGGUCGGACAUCAGGAGGUUAGUGCAAUGGCAUAAGCCAGCUUGACUGCGAGCGUGACGGCGCGAGCAGGUGCGAAAGCAGGUCAUAGUGAUCCGGUGGUUCUGAAUGGAAGGGCCAUCGCUCAACGGAUAAAAGGUACUCCGGGGAUAACAGGCUGAUACCGCCCAAGAGUUCAUAUCGACGGCGGUGUUUGGCACCUCGAUGUCGGCUCAUCACAUCCUGGGGCUGAAGUAGGUCCCAAGGGUAUGGCUGUUCGCCAUUUAAAGUGGUACGCGAGCUGGGUUUAGAACGUCGUGAGACAGUUCGGUCCCUAUCUGCCGUGGGCGCUGGAGAACUGAGGGGGGCUGCUCCUAGUACGAGAGGACCGGAGUGGACGCAUCACUGGUGUUCGGGUUGUCAUGCCAAUGGCACUGCCCGGUAGCUAAAUGCGGAAGAGAUAAGUGCUGAAAGCAUCUAAGCACGAAACUUGCCCCGAGAUGAGUUCUCCCUGACUCCUUGAGAGUCCUGAAGGAACGUUGAAGACGACGACGUUGAUAGGCCGGGUGUGUAAGCGCAGCGAUGCGUUGAGCUAACCGGUACUAAUGAACCGUGAGGCUUAACCUU
rnacentral:rRNA from 1 species